UAAAACUCAAAGGACUUGGCGGUGCUUCACAUCCACCUAGAGGAGCCUGUUCUAUAAUCGAUAAACCCCGAUAGACCUUACCAACCCUUGCCAAUUCAGCCUAUAUACCGCCAUCUUCAGCAAACCCUAAAAAGGAACAAUAGUAAGCACAAUCAUAGCACAUAAAAACGUUAGGUCAAGGUGUAGCUUAUGGGUUGGAAAGAAAUGGGCUACAUUUUCUACAUAANAAUAUCCACCACACGAAAGUUUUUAUGAAACUAANAACCAAAGGAGGAUUUAGCAGUAA
rnacentral:rRNA from 1 species